rnacentral:rRNA from 1 species
CCUACGGGGGGCAGCAGUGAGGAAUAUUGGUCAAUGGACGAGAGUCUGAACCAGCCAAGUAGCGUGAAGGAUGACUGCCCUAUGGGUUGUAAACUUCUUUUAUAUGGGAAUAAAACGUUCCACGUGUGGGAUUUUGUAUGUACCAUAUGAAUAAGGAUCGGCUAACUCCGUGCCAGCAGCCGCGGUAAUACGGAGGAUCCGAGCGUUAUACGGAUUUAUUGGGUUUAAAGGGAGCGUAGGUGGAUUGUUAAGUCAGUUGUGAAAGUUUGCGGCUCAACCGUAAAAUUGCAGUUGAAACUGGCAGUCUGGAGUACAGUAGAGGUGGGCGGAAUUCGUGGUGUAGCGGUGAAAUGCUUAGAUAUCACGAAGAACUCCGAUUGCGAAGGCAGCUCACUGGACUGCAACUGACACUGAGGCUCGAAAGUGUGGGUAUCAAACAGGAUUAGAUACCCUUGUAGUC